rnacentral:rRNA from 1 species
AGUGAACGCUGGCGGCGUGCCUAAUACAUGCAAGUCGAACGGAGAUUAAGUAGCUUGCUAUUUAAUCUUAGUGGCGCACGGGUGAGUAAUAUAUAGCUAACUUGCCCAUUACUAAGGGACAACAGUUGGAAACGACUGCUAAUACCUUAUACUCCGUAUCUAUAUAAGUAGAUACGGGAAAGUUUUUCGGUAAUGGAUAGGGCUAUAUCGUAUCAGCUAGUUGGUAAGGUAAUGGCUUACCAAGGCUAUGACGCGUAACUGGUCUGAGAGGAUGAUCAGUUACACUGGAACUGAGACACGGUCCAGACUCCUACGGGAGGCAGCAGUAGGGAAUAUUGCUCAAUGGGGGAAACCCUGAAGCAGCAACGCCGCGUGGAGGAUGACACUUUUCGGAGCGUAAACUCCUUUUCUUGGGAAAGAAUUAUGACGGUACCCAAGGAAUAAGCACCGGCUAACUCCGUG